rnacentral:lncRNA from 1 species
AGCGGCCGGUCGGAUUAAAAGUAACCAGACUCGUCCAGAAAACUGCGUCCAGGAAGGAAGUGACAGAAGACGAAUGGGAAAAGGAGAACAGCUCACAGCGUUUGAAACAUCGCGGCACCACUUUCAGAUAAAAACAUAGACCUGAAUGGCAUCAUCCAGUAUCCAAGGAAACCAUCGAGAAGAUCAGGAUUGUCAAUGCUGUCAUUGCUUUUACUGGAAUCCCCAGCACGAAUUGAAGAUCUCACAUGAGAUGGCAAAGAGGUCAAGACAAAAAUUCUGCAUUUGGGAAAAGAAUAACACAUGGACUUCCUCCUACAGGAUUAUAGGACUGUGUAUGUCCUACACACACAUUAUAUGUCCUACACGCACAGUGAUGAGGAGUGACAAAAUGAAGACUCCAGAAUCCUCUUUAUCAGAUCCUGAAUGUGCACUUUCUGAAGUGAAGUCCACUAUGUGCUGGGCACACAGAGAAUAGAGCAUGAAACAAAAGCAACAUGACCCUGCCCUCACCAAGACUACAGGGAGUGAUGGAGCAUACAACUUUGUUUCAGAAUGCAAUUCAGAUCUUCCCUUUCGCUUGGCUUCUUAAAACUUCUUUUGAGGAUGGUAAAAUUUCGUGUUAUAUUAAAUUUCAUCCUGUAACUGAUACUCUGGGAUGAUGUUGGCCAAUAACUAGCAAGACUUUAAAUAAUCAACUAGUUUAGGCAUUGCUUAGCACGCUCCAGCUGACUUCACAAGUAAAACCAUGUGAAGAAAGAAGGUUUUCAGGUAACACAGAUGGAGGUGAUGAUCUUUCUCAUUUUGUGGAAAAUAUUAAUUUCUCAUUUUUUAUUCACUGACAAUUAGUAAAAUUCCUUACUCUACCUAAUAUGUAGACUUCUGAACUAUGUAAGUAAAACUUUAUAGUAACUGAAAAGUUUGGGUAUUGUAUUUUCUUGGAGAAAAUGUUAGCUUCCCUCUGUUACUUUUAAAUGUUAAACUUUUAAUGAAUUUCAUCAAUGUAUAAUAAUGGGCAUAAUGAUCCACUCUGAAAUAUUUACUGUCAUUUUGAAUUUAUUCUUGAGUCAUCACAAACGUGUACAUCUCUUAUACCUUCAUGGAUGUUAUUGGUGAGAUGAUCUCUUGUUGUCAACACCUUGAGGAUAGGGACUUAUUCAGGCUCGCCUCUAGCAAGUGCUAAGUGCCUGGGAACACAUAAUAAAUAUUUCAUGAUAGGAGGAUGUUAGAAUAAGAGGAAAAACCAGAUUCUUACCCAAAUAAAUAAUAUUUAUUAUAUUCUUAUUUGUAUAUCAUUGUAACUGUAAAAAAAAGUUGCCUAGGGAUUUGUUUUAUUUGUACAAAUACUUGUUUUUUGUAUGUAAGAGUGCCAA